AGUGAACGCUGGCGGCAGGCCUAACACAUGCAAGUCGAACGGCAGCGGACCUUCGGGUGCCGGCGAGUGGCGAACGGGUGAGUAAUAUAUCGGAACGUACCUUUCAGUGGGGGAUAACGUAGCGAAAGUUACGCUAAUACCGCAUAUUCUGUGAGCAGGAAAGCAGGGGAUCGCAAGACCUUGCGCUGAUUGAGCGGCCGAUAUCAGAUUAGCUAGUUGGUGAGGUAAAGGCUCACCAAGGCGACGAUCUGUAGCGGGUCUGAGAGGAUGAUCCGCCACACUGGAACUGAGACACGGUCCAGACUCCUACGGGAGGCAGCAGUGGGGAAUUUUGGACAAUGGGCGCAAGCCUGAUCCAGCCAUGCCGCGUGAGUGAAGAAGGCC
rnacentral:rRNA from 1 species